CCCCUAGAUGUUCUGGGCCGCACGCCCGCUACACUGAACAGUUCAACAAGUCUUAACCUUGGCCGAUAGGUCUGGGUAAUCUUUGAACGCUGUUCGUGAUUGGGAUAGACCUUUGCAAUUAUGGGUCUUCAACGAGGAAUUCCUAGUAAACGCAAGUCAUCAGCUUGCAUUGAUUACGUCCCUGCCCUUUGUACACACCGCCCGUCGCACCUACCGAUUGAAUGGUCCGGUGAAAUCUCGGGACGGCGGCUUGGUCGCUUGCGUCCGACUGCUGAAACUUGAUUAAACCAUAUCAUUUAGAGGAAGGUGAAGUCGUAACA
rnacentral:rRNA from 1 species